CGCUUAAGGUGUCCUUAUACAGGAUGAAACGGGAAGCCGGUGAUAUUCCGGCGCUGCCCCCGCAACGGUGAUCGAGAAAAGCACGCAUAAGCCACUGUGACCCACUAUGGGCAUGGGAAGGCGCGUGUAGCAACUGGCAAAGCCAGUACUCGUAAGCCCGGAGACCGGCCUCAGGCAA
rnacentral:ncRNA from 1 species